GUUCGUUCCGGGCGCCGUGUUCCCGCCGGAGCCCGCUCACAAAGGAGCGCCCCUUGCGCACUGCCGGCGCCGCCAGAAUCACUCCAAAAGAAGCUCUGCUGGCAGGAUGCUGCUCUCCCUGCUCUCCCCCCGCGUGAGCUGGCCUGCACGAUACCUCCUGUGUGACCUGCACUGCUGGGGGCUGCAUGUGCAGAAGAGGGCUGUCUGUCCCCGCAGAGGUGUGCAAACCACACGGACAGCCAGCAGCCACCACGUCAGCCCUGUCUUCACUAGGGCUUUGACUUUUGGUGAUAAAGUCGCCGUCGUUGACCAAAAUGGUGAGCACACAUACAGGGAGCUUUUCUGCCACAGCCUCCGCCUGUCCCAGGAGAUCUGUAGAGUCCUGCAGUGCUCCAGCAGGGACUUGAAGGAGGAGAGGAUCUCAUUUUUGUGCCCCAAUGAUGCCUCGUAUGUGAUUGCCCAGUGGGCUUCUUGGAUGAGUGGAGGCAUAGCAGUUCCCCUGUACAAGAAGCACCCUGUGCAGCAACUGGAGUAUGUGAUUGAGGAUUCGCAGAGCGCCCUCGUCAUCGCGACAGACGAGUAUGUGGGGAAAAUAACCCCUAGUGCUGAGAAGCUGGGAGUCCCAGUGCUGCCACUCAGCUUUCGUAGCAGUGGAUCUGCAGAUCAGACAGCGGUGGAAGACGUGCCCUUGGCAUCCAGUGCUUCCUGGAAGGACAGGGGAGCCAUGAUAAUCUACACGAGUGGGACAACGGGGAGACCAAAGGGUGUCCUCAGCACCCACGAGAAUGUGCAGGCGGUGACCACAGGGCUGGUUGAAAAAUGGGAGUGGAAGAAAGAAGAUGUUAUUCUGCACGUGCUGCCUUUGCAUCACGUCCACGGGGUGAUCAAUAAGCUGCUCUGUCCUCUCUGGGUGGGAGCAACAUGCAUCAUGCUGCCCGAAUUCAGCGCGCAGAUGGUUUGGAAGAAGUUCUUGAGCUCCCAGGCUCCCCGUGUCAACGUCUUCAUGGCAGUGCCCACCAUCUAUGCCAAGCUGAUAGAAUACUACGAUGAGCAUUUCUCUCAGCCCCAAGUGCAGGACUUUGUGCGUGCCUUUUGCCAGGAGAACAUCAGGUUGAUGGUGUCAGGCUCUGCAGCCCUGCCUGCGCCUGUCCUGAAGAAGUGGAAGGCCAUCACUGGGCACACUUUGCUGGAGAGGUAUGGGAUGACAGAGAUUGGGAUGGCACUUUCCAACCCUCUGCAUGGAGUCCGUGUCCCAGGUUCUGUUGGAACCCCACUGCCCGGGGUGGAGGUGCGCAUUGCCACCGAGAAGGUGAGAGGUGGUGGCCGUUCCUACACCAUCCACGCUCAGGGAGAUGAGCACGGCACACAGGUGACUCCGGGUCUGGAAGGGCAGGAAGGGGAGCUGCUGGUCCGUGGCUCCUCGGUGUUUCGUGAGUACUGGAACAGGCCCAAAGAAACCAGAGAGGCUUUCACACCCGAUGGAUGGUUCAGGACAGGGGACACGGCAGCCUACCACGACGGUGUUUACUGGAUCAAGGGCCGCACCUCGGUGGACAUCAUCAAGAACGGGGGCUUCAAAAUCAGCGCUCUGGAGGUGGAGCGGCAGCUGCUCGCACACCCGCACAUCACAGACGUGGCCGUCAUCGGACCCCCAGACAUGGUGUGGGGGCAGCGGGUCAGCGCCGUGGUGCAGCUGCGCAGGGGGGAGAUGCUGUCGGUGAAGGAGCUGAAGGAGUGGGCCAGGGACACCAUGGCCCCCUACGCCAUCCCCACUGAGCUGAUAGUGGUGGAGGAGAUCCCACGCAACCAGAUGGGGAAAGUCAACAAGAAGGAGCUCCUGCAGCGCUUCUACCCGGCGUAGUGCGCAGCCUGGGAGCCCCAUCCUCUGCCCCGAGGGCUCCCUGCUCCUCAGCGUGGAACAAAGCCCCCAGAAACGAGAUGGGUGAACACACAGCAACCUCAAGGGAAGCAAGCAACAAUGGGGAGAGACAAGGUCACCGGAGAAUAAAUCGCAGCGAGGGCUCUUCACGAUCCAUCAUUCCCGACAAGCCCGGCACCCAGCGCCGGCGCCGUGACAAGAUCAUUAAUAAAACUCCACGGGAGCGCAAUCGAUGGCUCUGAUGGAUGAUCACAGGUAGCAAAUAGUGCAGAACACCUGGUUGUCACCCUGCAGUGAGGGGCUCACACGGCCCGGGGGUGUCCUCGUGUCCCCUGUGGAUGGGGUUGGCGAUGUGAGGUCACGCUGCCUCCAUGCCCACUGAGCAAGGCAGAGUUUGGUGUGUGGAGCUGAGCGCCACUGUGGGGAUGUGUGUCCCAAAGCCAGG